CUCCUUCUACUGUGUCUUCAGUCUCACCGGCAUGCAGGCCACCGAUCUGCAUUUUGGCUGAAUUUCCCCGAAAAGGUAGAUGCUCCUCUCCUCCCCUUGCCCCCACCCCUACCCCCGCCUUGGAGAAAGGGCUAAACACGGCAAUGAGCGAGCUUACCUCUCUGGUUCCAGCUACCUAACGCCCAGCCAGACAGGAGCCCACGUUUGUUCCCUAGGUCAGCAUGAUUCCGGGGGGGCUUCUAGGAGGAGGCUCUCCAUCUUGUAAUGCCAGGCUGGCGGGGAUCUCUUUUGCAGACUGACCCCUGGGCCUCAGCUUGGAGGGGCUCCAGAGAUACCGCCCUAGGAAGGGCUUCAGAGUUUGGCCCGAGGCCCAGGUCCAUCAAUAAACCCGAAGGAAGGAGCUCCCAGGGGUGGCGGUGCCAAAGCACUUGCGGGGAGGGGAGAGGUACUGCCCUGAGGGCCCGGGGCCCCAGACUGGCCAUGGGGUGGGGGGUGGGGUUGUCACAAAGAGAGAAACUGGGCAGCAGCUCUAGCAGAUGUUUACAGAACGAGAAGCGGACAGAGGAAAAACCGGGAAAUGGGGGCCUGAAGCAUCCGCCUUCUCAGUCCGUGAGAGCUGCGGUCUGGACCCCGGACCUACAGCUGGGAGCCUUGGAGGCUGGCCGGUCAAACUCCCCUUUUACAGACGAUGAAACUGAGGCCGGGGGAUCAGAGGGACCGGUCCAGGCGACGGAUCCUAGCGUAUCCAAUCAGAGGCAGAGCUGACGCUGACGUGAGGAGGGGGCGGGGCUCUCGGCGGCCUUGUUAGUGGGAACCGGUGGACUGGCCUGAGGCGCUCGAGCUCGCCUACUUCGCCCUUUGGGCCGCGGCUGCCCCGGCGCUCUCCGGGCGAGCGCGGGGCAGGGGCAGGGCCAGGCUCUCGGCCCACGCGCUGGUCCCAGACAUCUCAACGGCCCCAAGCGCUGCCGUCCCGGGGCGGAGCUCAGGUGAGUGCGGAGGGCUCGGGAGGCGGGGGCCUGGAGGGAGGGUCGGGGGAUCGGCGGGGCGGGGCGGUUGGAGCGCGCGCGUGGUGGGCGCACCUGCUUCGGGGGGAGGGUCGGUCGCCUGUGCGCGUGCGCGGCGCCGGGGGCGGGGCGCCGGUGUUCGUGCGC
rnacentral:lncRNA from 1 species